rnacentral:rRNA from 1 species
GGCCCAGAUCGUUUACCGUGAAAAAAUUAGAGUGUUCAAAGCAGGCAGAUUCAAUUUUCUGCCACCGAAUACAUUAGCAUGGGAUAAUGGAAUAGGACCCUGUCCUCCUCUUUUCAGUUGGUUAAUUUAUGUGCGAGGAUCAGGGUAAUGAUUAAUAGGGAUAGUUGGGGGCAUUAAUAUUUAAUUGUCAGAGGUGAAAUUCUUGGAUUUAUGAAAGAUUAACUUCUGCGAAAGCAUCUGCCAAGGAUGUUUUCAUUAAUCAAGAACGAAAGUUAGGGGAUCGAAGACGAUCAGAUACCGUCGUAGUCUUAACCAUAAACGAUGCCGACCAGCGAUUAGGAGACGUUGAAUACAAAACACCGCUAAAGAUAAUUCANUAUAUGACUUCACGGUUGUNUNNNGAUUGUCUUUNGNUCAUGGUGAAUGACUCCCCUAGCUUGUGAGA